UUGGUCAGUGGUUUAUGCAAUUAUUUGAUUUACCUAUUGAUCUAGACUUUAGUUUCAGUGAUGAAUUUAUAUUUAUUUUGUAGGAAAUUAUGAGUUCUUACUUGAGUUGUCACAUGUAGUUCAUGUGUCAUCGCAUAUUAUCCUAUUUGAGACAAGUAGAUUAAAAUUUCUCAUGUCAUGUGCACUUCCGUUAGGAAAAAAUCCAGAACAUACUUUUUUUUCAUCAUAUACAUAGUCUUUACAUUAAUUCAUUAUGGCUGAGAUAAGAAUAUUGUGCAUAAAAAUAAUCAAUACCAUGAUGAUUCAGUUUUCCUUACAUAGUGUGUUAUCACAGCCUUCUAAGAAAUAGUUUAUAAAGCUUUGUUUUGAGGGUCCAAUGGUCAAUCGAAUCUAAACAGAGAAUUAGAAGCCUGGUGGUUGGAAUUGAAAAUAUGUUGUUUGCUUCGAAAUUCAGAUCUAGGAUAAAAUUUCCUCUACAUAGUUACUGUAUAAUUUUUCCUCCUUACCUUCCCAAUAUGUGUCACAAGGGUCCUGAUUUUUCAUCUGCUGAUCGUCAAGAAUAUUUUGUAUUUGCACAGUGGGUUUUCGAUGUUGGCAAUGAUGAUAUUUUAGGACACGCUAGAUAUAGGAAGGACUCCUGUUACUGGAUAACAAUCCCUGAAGAUCUUUUGUUGCAUCUGACUUCCAGUAAUGUGGAUGCAGGCAUUGAGAGUGUUCAUGAUUCUUUCUUUUUCAAUUAUGCUUCUGCCGAUUUUAUCUUGCACAGUGUACGUGUCCAACAAAUACAGUUGUUGAUUUCGGAUCAAGAUUAGUUUCUGAUGCCAAAGAUAGUACACUUUCAAAUAUAUCUUUCUUGUUUAGUGUUCUUUAUUAUUUUCUUCGCGUUUAGUGCUUCUCUGCUCCAUUGGGUGCCUAUCUAUUAUCUAUGUACCCAUUUUGUAUCUGGUUCAUAGAGUUAUUGAGGUCAGGUAAUACUCCUUUUGGCAUAUGACGUGCAGGUGCAUGUCAUUUCAUUGGCUCAAAUGUAAAUUGCUAUAUUUCGUGUUAUCUGCAACCCUUAAUAUGAACACCAACAUCUGAUUGGCUACAUCUAACUGGUGGCAAAACCCACACGGCAGGUUAUCUUGUUUUGGACAUUACUUUGACUACUAGAGAAUUAGGAUGGUAGAUUGUUUUCGGUAAGACUCACCCUGAUGCGAGCUCUUAUGUUUUUCAGGGCCUUCAAUCUGGGCAUAAUAACUAUUAUGUUUGAGAUAUCAAUACAUCAGGGAUUAAUGCGGUGGUGGUGGUGAAGGCAUAUUCAGUAGCUCCUUCGUUGCUGCAAAUAUUGGAGGGUUUUCAAACAAGGAUCCAAUGAAUUCAUGCUUCUUCGAAACUGUUGAUACAUCAUGGGAAGGUCCGCUUGAGGUGCUCGGUAUAGUGCCAUAAGUUGGAACUUGGCGUCGGUGUGCUGGCGUAAGUUUGUGUUGGUGUAGUGCCAUAAGUUGGUGUUGGUGUCUGUGUUGGUUUGUAACCUCCUCCUGGCCCAUGCGUGGGAAUUGGGGAGCCCUCAUCUGGUAAGAUGUACAAAAUAGUCGCUAUUAUUACUGUAAAAUAAUAUUGCAGCUAUUGUGAUUGCAUGAUAUGGCUUGAUUUGUUCCGUUGGUCAUGAAAAUGUGGCACAACCAGAUAGCAUGCUUACAGUUAUCAACAGAUGCAUCAAGUUGCUUUCCAUAG